CCUGGGUGCUUGCACCUGGGGGAUUAGUGGCGAAUGGGUGAGUAACACGUGAGCAAUCUGCCCCGGACUCUGGGAUAAGCGCUGGAAACGGCGUCUAAUACUGGAUAUGACGCGCGAAGGCAUCUUCUGCGUGUGGAAAGUUUUUCGGUUCGGGAUGAGCUCGCGGCCUAUCAGCUUGUUGGUGAGGUAAUGGCUCACCAAGGCGACGACGGGUAGCCGGCCUGAGAGGGUGACCGGCCACACUGGGACUGAGACACGGCCCAGACUCCUACGGGAGGCAGCAGUGGGGAAUAUUGCACAAUGGGCGCAAGCCUGAUGCAGCAACGCCGCGUGGGGGAUGACGGCCUUCGGGUUGUAAACCUCUUUUAGCAGGGAAGAAGCCUUUCGGGGUGACGGUACCUGCAGAAAAAGCACCGGCUAACUACGUGCC
rnacentral:rRNA from 1 species